rnacentral:rRNA from 1 species
GAGGAAUAUUGGGCAAUGGGCGCAAGCCUGACCCAGCCACGCCGCGUGAGUGAUGAAGGCCUUCGGGUUGUAAAGCUCUGUGGGGAGGGAAGAAAAAUCCGGGUUCGAAUAGGGCCUGGACUUGACGGUACCUCCUUAGCAAGCACCGGCUAACUCUGUGCCAGCAGCCGCGGUAAGACAGAGGGUGCAAACGUUGCUCGGAAUUACUGGGCGUAAAGGGCGCGUAGGCGGAUUUGGAAGUCGGGUGUGAAAGCCCUGGGCUCAACCUAGGAACUGCAUUCGAAACUCCAAGUCUAGAGUGACGGAGAGGAAAGCGGAAUUCCCGGUGUAGAGGUGAAAUUCGUAGAUAUCGGGAGGAACACCAGAGGCGAAGGCGGCUUUCUGGACGUCUACUGACGCUGAGGCGCGAAAGCGUGGGGAGCAAAC